ACUCAUAAUCAGAAGGUUCUUAGGCUGAAUGGAGCAUUAUGGGCCAAGGAAGGCUGAUCCAAGGAAAGAAGCAAGGGUUUUGAAAACCCUAAGGCUUGGUGAGCCGCCGGCUGCCCAUGGAAAAGGAAGGGGGCUGCAGCUGGUUUUUCCUCUGAAUUAUGAGCUUUAAUGAGCCAUUAAUACUCUUUUCUUGGGCUGUAUCAGAUCUGAAACCAGAACCCUAGCCCACACAAGCCCUGACCGCCACCCAUGGGUAAGGAUUAGAGUGAAAUCCUUAUUUUCUUACAUGCAAAACAGCACCAGAAAAUAUUUCACGUAAACACCAACCAAACAAGCAAACCAACACCCUUCCCCUUGCUCCUAAGAGGCCUCCACUCGUCACCCUUGCACCACCAACAACCACCGCCCACCAAGGAGGAGGAGGAGACACGAGAAAGAGAGAAAAACCGCAAGGAAGGAGAGGAAACGCGUGAAGGAGAGGAAGCACGUGGAGGAAGGAGAAUUUUGGACAGCAGAGGAAGCUCUUUCUAUUCUUCACUUCUCUCCAUCAAAAUCCUACUUCUUUUCAUCUAAAUUCAUUCAAAACCCGAGAUGGUCGUGAAGAUAAUGGCGACGACUCAUUCUUGGGAGUUGAUGCUACGUGACGAGCCACUACAGAUGACGACUACACUUCUGAUGAAGAGGAAGAAGAUAAAGAGGAAGGGGCCAAGGAUAUGGUUGGGUUGUGAGACAUCCAUUUUUCUUUAGGGUUGAGAGUACCGAGUUUUGGAAGUAUUGAACCAUUACUUUAUUUUAGUUGAGAUAGUUUAACUUGAUGUAAUUUACUUUGAAGUUUUCUUCCGGAUAUUUAUUUCAUACUCUUUUCAAUGAUUAAUAAAGUUUGAGGUUUAGGUUGA